rnacentral:rRNA from 1 species
CCAUGCAGUCGACGGAAAGGCCUCUAGCUUGCUAGGGGUCUCGAGUGGCGAACGGGUGAGUAACACGUGGGUGAUCUGCCCUGCACUUUGGGAUAAGCUUGGGAAACUGGGUCUAAUACCGAAUAUGACCAUUGUUUGGAUGCGAUGGUGGAAAGCUUUUGCGGUGUGGGAUGAGCCUGCGGCCUAUCAGCUUGUUGGUGGGGUAAUGGCCUACCAAGGCGGCGACGGGUAUCCGGCCUGAGAGGGUGUACGGACACAUUGGGACUGAGAUACGGCCCAGACUCCUACGGGAGGCAGCAGUGGGGAAUAUUGCACAAUGGGCGCAAGCCUGAUGCAGCGACGCCGCGUGGGGGAUGACGGCCUUCGGGUUGUAAACUCCUUUCGCCAGGGACGAAGCGUUUUUGUACGGUCGUAAAACCCGGAUCGCCACACCGCGGAUCUAGGGGCAGCGUUGUCCGAAUUCGGCGUAAAAGUCGAGGUGGUUGUCGCGCCGUGAAAUCCCGGGGUUACUUCGGGCGUGCAGGCAUACGGGCUAUGAUGCUGUAGGGAGACUGAAUUCCUGGUGUACGGUAAAUGCGCAAUAUCAGGAGGAACACCAUGGCAAGGAGGUUCUGGGCAGUAACUGACGCUAGAGCGAAAGCAUGGGUAGCGAACAGGAAUAAGAUACCCUGUAGUCCAUGCCGUAAACGGUGGGCGCUAGGUGAGGGGGCUUCCACGUCUUCUGUGCGUAGCUAACGCAUUAAGCGCCCC